UGAGUACGAGCUGCUACGGCAGCGAAGUGGGUGAUGUCAAGCUUCCAAGAAAAGCCCUAUACCCGUUAAGGCAUGACGGCCUGUACCCGAAACCGACACAGGUGGGGUGGUAGAGAAUACCGAGGGGCGCGAGAUAACUCUCUCUAAGGAACUCGGCAAAAUGGCCCCGUAACUUCGGGAGAAGGGGUGCCACUGCAAGGUGGUCGCAGUGAAGAGGCCCAGGCGACUGUUUACCAAAAACACAGGUCUCCGCUAAGUCGCAAGACGAUGUAUGGGGGCUGACGCCUGCCCAGUGCCGGAAGGUUAAGGAAGCUGGUCAGCGCAAGCGAAGCUAGCGACUGAAGCCCCGGUGAACGGCGGCCGUAACUAUAACGGUCCUAAGGUAGCGAAAUUCCUUGUCGGGUAAGUUCCGACCCGCACGAAAGGCGUAACGAUCUGGGCGCUGUCUCGGAGAGAGGCUCGGCGAAAUAGAAUUGUCUGUGAAGAUGCGGACUACGUGCACCCGGACAGAAAGACCCUAUGAAGCUUUACUGUAGCUUGGUAUUGUGCCCGGGCCCUGAAUGCGCAGGAUAGGUGGGAGGCUUUGAUCCAUUGCUUGUGGGUGAUGGUGAGCCACUGGUGAGAUACCACUCUUUCAGAGCUAGGGUUCUAACGGUCACCCGUUAUCCGGGGACCGGACAGUAUCAGGUGGGCAGUUUGACUGGGGCGGUCGCCUCCUAAAAGGUAACGGAGGCGCGCAAAGGUUCCCUCAGGCUGGUUGGAAAUCAGCCGACGAGUGUAAAGGCAGAAGGGAGCUUGACUGUGAGACCUACAAGUCGAACAGGGACGAAAGUCGGCCUUAGUGAUCCGACGGUUCUGAGUGGAAGGGCCGUCGCUCAACGGAUAAAAGUUACUCUAGGAUAACAGGCUGAUCUCCCCCAAGAGUUCACAUCGACGGGGAGGUUUGGCACCUCGAUGUCGGCUCAUCGCAACCUGGGGCUGAAGUCGGUCCCAAGGGUUGGGCUGUUCGCCCAUUAAAGCGGUACGCGAGCUGGGUUCAGAACGUCGUUAGACAGUUCGGUCCAUAUCCGGUGCACGCGCAGGAACAUUGAGAGGAUUUCUCCCUAGUACGAGAGGACCGGGAGGAACGCACCUCUGGUGUACCAGUUAUCGUGCCAACGGUAAACGCUGGGUAGCCAUGUGCGGAGCGGAUAACCGCUGAAAGCAUCUAAGUGGGAAGCCCACCUCAAGAUGAGUGUUCCCAUGGCAUAAGCCAGUAAGGUCACGGGAAGAACACCCGUUGAUAGGCUCUACGUGGAAGCGUGGCAACACGUGAAGCGGAGGAGUACUAAUAGACCGAGGGCUUGAUC
rnacentral:rRNA from 1 species